rnacentral:rRNA from 1 species
CAGCAGCCACGGUAAUACGAAGGGGGCUAGCGUUGCUCGGAAUGACUGGGCGUAAAGCGUGCGUAGGCGGCUUCUUAAGUCGGAUGUGAAAUCCCUGAGCUUAACUUAGGAAUUGCAUUCGAUACUGGGAAGCUAGAGUAUGGGAGAGGAUGGUAGAAUUCCAGGUGUAGCGGUGAAAUGCGUAGAGAUCUGGAGGAAUACCGAUGGCGAAGGCAGCCAUCUGGCCUAAUACUGACGCUGAGGUACGAAAGCAUGGGGAGCAAACAGGAUUAGAUACCCCUGUAGUCCCUGUCUCUUAUAC